UAACUACGUGCCAGCAGCCGCGGUAAUACGUAGGUGGCAAGCGUUAUCCGGAAUUAUUGGGCGUAAAGCGCGCGUAGGCGGUUUUUUAAGUCUGAUGUGAAAGCCCACGGCUCAACCGUGGAGGGUCAUUGGAAACUGGAAAACUUGAGUGCAGAAGAGGAAAGUGGAAUUCCAUGUGUAGCGGUGAAAUGCGCAGAGAUAUGGAGGAACACCAGUGGCGAAGGCGACUUUCUGGUCUGUAACUGACGCUGAUGUGCGAAAGCGUGGGGAUCAAACAGGAUUAGAUACCCUGGUAGUCCACGCCGUAAACGAUGAGU
rnacentral:rRNA from 1 species